AAAUUUCCCAAGAAACACACGAAUCAAGACAGAGAGGACGCGCUGAAGGAUUGAGAGAGCGAGUAAAAGAAAGCGGAGAUGUCUGAUUACGAAGGAAGAUACGAAGGCAACGGAGAGGACGCAGACAACUAUGGCGGUGGCUCCUCUCCUCAACCUCGCGGUGGUAGCCAUGGCGGUCCCGAAGAUAAUAGCGACUCCAGGUCUAAGCAUGGUUCUCGUGAUUAUGAAAGAGCAUCUUCUAAAAGUAGGGAGGACAAAGAAAAGGGGCGUGAUAAGGAGAGGGACAGGGAUAGAGACCGUGAUCGGGAGAGAGUCAAAAGCAGUGAUAGGGAGAGAAGCAAGGACCGAGAUAGGGAUAGGGAAAGGGAUAGAGAUCUUGACCGGGAUCGUCAUCAUAGAGAUCGCCAGAGGGAUCGGGAUCGCAGUGAAAGAAGGGAACGAGGUAGGGAUAGAGAUGAUGAUGAUUAUUAUCGAAGUCGGGACUAUGAAAGACGAAGGGAUCACGACAAAGACAGAGAGGAUAGGCAUAGGCGUAGGUCUCGCUCCCGUUCAGGGGGUAGAUCUGAGCGCAGAUCUAGGUCACGUUCUCGCUCUCGCUCAAAGAGCAAAAGGAUUAGUGGUUUUGAUAUGGCACCUCCUGCUUCUGCAUUGUUACAUGGUGCUGCUGCUGCUGCUGCUGUUGCUGCUGUAGCAGGUCAGAUUCCUGGGACUAGCCCGACCAUUCCUGGAAUGUUUCCAAACAUGUUUCCUUUAGCAACUGGUCAGUUUGGAGCUCUUCCUGUCAUGCCAGUUCAGGCAAUGACUCAACAGGCAACAAGGCAUGCUCGGAGGGUGUAUGUUGGUGGCCUUUCUCCAACAGCAAAUGAACAGUCUGUUGCUACAUUUUUCAGUCAUGUCAUGGCUGCGAUUGGAGGAAACACUGCUGGUCCAGGAGAUGCUGUUGUCAAUGUCUACAUAAACCAUGAAAAGAAAUUUGCUUUUGUAGAGAUGAGAUCUGUUGAGGAGGCUAGUAAUGCAAUGGCUUUAGAUGGGAUUAUUUUUGAGGGUGCACCUGUUAAGGUGAGGAGACCUAGUGACUACAACCCAUCUCUUGCUGCAACACUUGGUCCGAGCCAGCCCAAUCCUAAUCUGAACCUAUCUGCCGUUGGGUUAACUCCAGGAUCUGCUGGUGGGCUUGAGGGUCCUGACCGCAUAUUUGUCGGCGGGCUUCCCUAUUACUUCACAGAGACCCAGAUCAGGGAGUUGUUAGAGACUUUUGGGCCACUUCGGGGUUUUGACCUUGUGAAAGACAGAGAAACGGGAAAUUCAAAAGGCUAUGCAUUUUGUGUUUACCAAGAUCUUUCAGUUACGGACAUAGCUUGUGCAGCUCUGAAUGGAAUUAAAAUGGGUGAUAAAACUCUCACUGUCAGGCGUGCUAACCAGGGCACCAACCAACCCAAGCCUGAGCAGGAGAACGUAUUAUUGCAUGCACAGCAGCAGAUUGCAUUGCAGAAGCUCAUGUUACAACCUGGUGUAGUGGCAACAAAGGUUGUGUGUCUAACUCAGGUGGUUUCUCCUGAUGAACUCAAAGACGAUGAUGAUUAUCAGGACAUUUUGGAAGACAUGAGAGAAGAAUGUGGAAAAUUCGCUUUUUUGUAGUCCCACAUUCUGCUUUAAAGAAUCAGGCCUAACAUGCACAGACAGAAGCCUCCAUAACCUUCUUCCAUGUUCACCGAAGAAUGUUUCUUUGUAUAUUAUUGAUAAAUCUUAUGCAUUUUGAAUUUUUAAUGUGAUUUGCAGGUACACUGGCAAAUCUCGUCAUCCCACGCCCAACACCGAAUGGUGAACCAUCACCCGGAGUUGGGAAGGUCUUUCUGGAGUAUGCAGACAUUGAUGGUGCGGCAAAAGCUCGUUCUGGGUUGAAUGGACGAAAAUUUGGUGGGAAUCAAGUUGUGGCCGUCUUUUAUCCAGAGAACAAGUUUGCCCAGGGGGACUACGAAGGCUAGUAGUAUGGUCUUAGAGUCUUCUUCCUGGUGUUGCUUUUGUACGACUUCAUGAUUAUGCUCAAUACUCGCUGAGGCACUUCAUGUUGAUGGAUAUGGAACAUAUUGCAGCCUAUGGUGUGCCCUUUUCUACCCCUUUAAUUUUUGCUGUUAAGUUAGGGUUUGCUACAGAUUUAACAUGAUACUAAAUUAGUUUAGAUUGCUUUGUCGAUGUUAAGUGGCACAGUAAAUACAAUUUGGAGUGUGAUUUUGUUGUAGUUCGUGCUGCUAUUUUUGUCGUC